AUUGAACGCUGGCGGAAUGCUUUACACAUGCAAGUCGAACGGCAGCACGGACUUCGGUCUGGUGGCGAGUGGCGAACGGGUGAGUAAUGUAUCGGAACGUGCCCAGUCGUGGGGGAUAACGUAGUGAAAAUUACGCUAAUACCGCAUACGAUCUAUGGAUGAAAGCGGGGGAUCGCAAGACCUCGCGCGAUUGGAGCGGCCGAUAUCAGAUUAGGUAGUUGGUGGGGUAAAGGCCACAAAGCCAACGAUCUGUAGCUGGUCUGAGAGGACGACCAGCCACACGGGAACUGAGACGCGGUCCAGACUCCUACGGGAGGCAGCAGUGGGGAAUUUUGGACAAUGGGCGAAAGCCUGAUCCAGCCAUUCCGCGUGCAGGUUGAAGGCCCUCGGGUUGUAAACUGCUUUUGUACAGAACGAAAAGGUUUCUACUAAUACUAGGAGCUCAUGACGGUACUGUAAGAAUAAGCACCGGCUAACUACGUGCCAGCAGCCGCCGCAG
rnacentral:rRNA from 1 species